rnacentral:rRNA from 1 species
AAUGAACGCUGGCGGCAUGCCUUACACAUGCAAGUCGAACGGCAGCAUGACCUAGCUUGCUAGGUUGAUGGCGAGUGGCGAACGGGUGAGUAAUGCAUCGGAACGUGCCUUUUAGUGGGGGAUAACGUAGCGAAAGUUACGCUAAUACCGCAUAUUCUCUGAGGAGGAAAGCAGGGGACCUUCGGGCCUUGCGCUAGAAGAGCGGCCGAUGUCGGAUUAGCUAGUUGGUGAGGUAAAGGCUCACCAAGGCAACGAUCCGUAGCGGGUCUGAGAGGAUGAUCCGCCACACUGGGACUGAGACACGGCCCAGACUCCUACGAGAGGCAGCAGUGGGGAAUUUUGGACAAUGGGCGCAAGCCUGAUCCAGCCAUGCCGCGUGAGUGAAGAAGGCCUUCGGGUUGUAAAGCUCUUUCGGCUGGGAAGAAAUCGCACCCUCUAAUACAGGGUGUGGAUGACGGUACCAGCAUAAGAAGCACCGGCUAACUACGUG